GUAAACUUAGAAACUACCGUCGGAUCGAAAAAUAGACGUCUUGGAUUCGUCCACGUCACCAUGAGUAAAAAUAUUACUCUAAGUAAAGUUUUUACUGAUGAGUAAGCUUACGAGUAAAAUUUUUACUUAUGAUGACGUGGGCGAAUCUCAGACGUAUAUUUUUCGAUCCAACGGUAGUCAUCAUGUUUUC
rnacentral:pre_miRNA from 1 species